AGUGGGAUCACUUACCAUCGAUAUCCAUCUUUUGUUGCAUUACUUUUUUGAAGAUUCAUCCUCUUUUUGCAUACUGGACACUUCUUUUUUCUAAGCAGAAGUCUGUGUUUCUGAAGCCAUUUAAUGAGUGACUUCUGUUUUCCAUAAAUGCUCCGUAAUAAAUGUCUGACUAAACUCAUUUUAUUAAUUCCAUUAGCUAAACGAGUUAAUCUUUGUGUAAUAUUGUAUUACUAUCAGCCUCUAAAAAUAAAAAGUCCGCCAAAACUAACAAUCUGAAUACUGAUUGGCCGUUUUAUGAACACGUUUUUGCACAUGUAGCCAAUCAGCUUUUAAACAGGAAGCCCGCCCUUCCGGUAUUUGAAAUUGUCAGCGAUAAGCAAUCGCAUCAAUCAAUAAUUUCCUGUUGGUCGCAUUAAGUAUGCAGAACACAAAGCGCACAAAGCGGGGGAGAAACCAAGGUGGCGUUGUUGAUAAAGUAGGUGAUACAGUCUCAGUGCCACCUCCUGUCUCUGGUUCACCACAAGUUGCACCGACGGCAGUUGCAACAAUUGAAAAACUCAAAGAAGAAAAUAGACUCCUGAAAGAGGAACGGGAUUUUCUGCGGGAGCAAUUGAGAGGUUCCCUCAAUAAAAGACAACUAGGGACAAACAGAAGAAUGCAAAAUGAUUCAUCUUCUGAGUCAGAAUCUGCAGACAACUCA